UACGGAGGGUGCAAGCGUUAUCCGGAUUCACUGGGUUUAAAGGGUGCGUAGGUGGGUUAGUAAGUCAGUGGUGAAAUCCCCGAGCUUAACUUGGGAACUGCCAUUGAUACUAUUAAUCUUGAAUAUUGUGGAGGUUAGCGGAAUAUGUCAUGUAGCGGUGAAAUGCUUAGAUAUGACAUAGAACACCAAUUGCGAAGGCAGCUGGCUACACAUAUAUUGACACUGAGGCACGAAAGCGUGGGGAUCAAACAGG
rnacentral:rRNA from 1 species